GAUGAACGCUGGCGGCGUGCCUAAUACAUGCAAGUCGAGCGAACAGACGAGGAGCUUGCUCCUCUGACGUUACCGGCGGACGGGUGAGUAACACGUGGAUAACCUACCUAUAAGACUGGGAUAACUUCGGGAAACCGGAGCUAAUACCGGAUAAUAUAUUGAACCGCAUGGUUCAAUAGUGAAAGACGGUUUUGCUGUCACUUAUAGAUUGAUCCGCGCCGCAUUAGCUAGUUGGUAAGGUAACGGCUUACCAAGGCAACGAUGCGUAGCCGACCUGAGAGGGUGAUCGGCCACACUGGAACUGAGACACGGUCCAGACUCCUACGGGAGGCAGCAGUAGGGAAUCUUCCGCAAAGGGCGAAAGCCUGACGGAGCAACGCCGCGUGAGUGAUGAAGGUCUUCGGAUCGUAAAACUCUGUUAUUAGGGAAGAACAAAUGUGUAAGUAACUAUGCACGUCUUGACGGUACCUAAUCAGAAAGCCACGGCUAACUACGUG
rnacentral:rRNA from 1 species